UCCCUGGUGGCUCAGCUGGUAAAGAAUCUGACUGCAAUUCAGGGAGACCUGGGUUCGAUCCCUGGCUUGGGAA
rnacentral:tRNA from 1 species